rnacentral:sRNA from 1 species
GCAGGUGCUACCUUCCUCCCCCACUGCUCCAUGUAUGUCCCUCCCAAGCUGUGUGCUCAGUGGAGGAGGAUGACUUUCUUCAAUGGAGGAAGAUCAUUCUUUUUUCAAGGGUAUUAAAGUAGCUGUGCUCCCUCGAUAGAACCUCCCAACAAGCCACAUUUUUUUUUGUCUCCCACCCCAUAAUCUCCCCAGAUGCACAGAGACACUUUAAGUUUCAAUAUGUUUUACUCU